rnacentral:rRNA from 1 species
AGCGGCGGACGGGUGAGUAACACGUGGGUAACCUGCCCAAGAGACUGGGAUAACACCUGGAAACAGAUGCUAAUACCGGAUAACAACACUAGACGCAUGUCUAGAGUUUGAAAGAUGGUUCUGCUAUCACUCUUGGAUGGACCUGCGGUGCAUUAGCUAGUUGGUAAGGUAACGGCUUACCAAGGCAAUGAUGCAUAGCCGAGUUGAGAGACUGAUCGGCCACAUUGGGACUGAGACACGGCCCAAACUCCUACGGGAGGCAGCAGUAGGGAAUCUUCCACAAUGGACGAAAGUCUGAUGGAGCAACGCCGCGUGAGUGAAGAAGGGUUUCGGCUCGUAAAGCUCUGUUGGUAGUGAAGAAAGAUAGAGGUAGUAACUGGCCUUUAUUUGACGGUAAUUACUUAGAAAGUCACGGCUAACUACGUGCCAGCAGCCGCGGUAAUACGUAGGUGGCAAGCGUUGUCCGGAUUUAUUGGGCGUAAAGCGAGUGCAGGCGGUUCAAUAAGUCUGAUGUGAAAGCCUUCGGCUCAACCGGAGAAUUGCAUCAGAAACUGUUGAACUUGAGUGCAGAAGAGGAGAGUGGAACUCCAUGUGUAGCGGUGGAAUGCGUAGAUAUAUGGAAGAACACCAGUGGCGAAAGGCGGCUCUCUGGUCUGCAACUGACGCUGAGGCUCGAAAGCAUGGGUAGCGAACAGGAUUAGAUACCCUGGGUAGUCCAUGCCGUAACGAUGAGUGCUAAGUGU